GGAACAUUUUAGAUCAUUAUUUUCUAAAUGUGGUAUCUUAUUAUUUACGUGUUUUUUUGGCUUUUUUUUUUGGCUUUUUUUUUGGGCUUUUUUCCCCUCCAUCAUUUGACAAACUGCUAUGAUACAGAAAAUCAAUAAUGUUAUAUAUUUUUUAAUUAAAUUCAGGAAUAAUAAAAAGGUAUGACCUAACACUAAAUGGACUAAUAAACACUAACCACACCCAAGAAAGAAAUUCUUAACCAGGAAACAAAGCAAAACAAUAAUUUAGGUUGUAAUACCCGCUAAGUUAAAAAAAAAAAAAAUGUUUCUUCAGCACACACACUUCAUUAAUUUUUUUACAUAGAAAAACAUAGAAAAAGAUUCAUAGCUGGUAUCAUGGGAAACGCUAGCAUCGAAAAAAAAUUGCUGUUCUCACCUGCUACCCACACACACACAUCCGUGCUAAGAUAUGCUAGCAAACACGGAUGUGUGUGCUCAUACACUCUAAUCAAAAACCCACCCAGAAACACGUGAACAUGAAUGGUAAUGUCCUCUCUGUCGCUAUCGCUCACUUUCUAUUCCAGUCACACUCACGCUUGUACACACACUUCACUAGGCUUGGUGUGAUGGUGGCUAAUUUAGCGCUUAUGUGGUAUAGAGGUAAUAGGAUCUGUAAGCAUAGUCUCUCUCUCUAUCUCUAUCUCUGUCUCUCUGUGAUUUUCUUAAGUGUUUAACUGAUCUGGUGCCCUUUAUCAAGUAACAGCGUCUUUUCGGAAAAAGGUUGGGCUCUUUAGCCAAAUAGCUUCUUGCUAAUUAUGAGCACAUUUCAUUCUAAAGGUCACUUGCUACUUACACACAUGUAAGAAUUUAAAAGUGUACUGUGGGUGUGGUUAUGAGUCCAUCCACUUGUUUUUAUGUAACUUAAUAUGUUAAUAUAGAAAAUAUGAUGUGGUGUUCUUUAAUAAACACACGACACACAGUGGUUUAUUCCUUACAUACAACACAGCAGAUCGCAGAAACAGAAAACGAGCCAACCUGCGUGCGAUAGUACUGCGUUUUCUAAAAAUAAGCACGUUUAAUAAGCAUAAACAUUCAUACAUGUCAACUGAAAGGUUUUCACAUAAAAUUCAUUUUAAAGAAAUAUUUCAAACGAGAUGAACGGGAAUAGGGUGAAGUUUAACGCCAAGAUUUAAAAAAUAACAUCAAUACUUAGAAUUGGAUGAAUGGGAGUACCUCAAGGCUCAGCUCUAGGCACAAUCUAAAUGUCCUAUCUUUAAUAAAGUGCAAUAAAACAAUAAAAAAAAGAAUAAACCUAGAAAUGUCAUAAUGUCUAUUAUAUUGUCAAAUACAUAUUCAGCAAAAUUUAAGAGGGAAAUCAUGUAUUUAGAAUUGGAUUAAUGAAAAACCUCAAGGGUGAGCUGUAGGCCCGAUCAAGAUUAGAAAAAGGACCCAAUAUAAAUGACGUAUCAAAACGAUUCCAUAUUCAUAUUUUCUACCUCACUACAGUCCAGAGAAGCUUUUUUUUAAUGUUCUGAGGAAUGCAAACAAUGGCUCUGCUAAUUAUAUUAUAUAGCGCUUUGUUUUCUAAUGACGUUUUCGGUCCAGAACGUCAGUGUUAUGAAUUAUUCAUAUAUCCUGUGAUCUAGCGGGCAGAGAGUAAUAAAUGCACAUCCGCCCCUCUCCUUUCUGCUUCAGAAAAAUUCAAUCAAAAUGCAGGCUGAUGUAUAUAUCAGACCAUAGUUUUUGUAGGGAAACAAAAAGAAUAGUGUGUAAGUCUUAUCAAAAAGAGAAUAUUCCUUCGGUCACAAAAAAAGCCUGAAAAUCCCACAGACAUAAAUAUCCUACCAUACCAUUCCAUAGAUAUUACCACACCAUAAAUAUUCUACCACUCAGUAUCCACCUUAAGCCUUAUAUUUAUUUACAUUCAUCCAUAUAAUUAUAUAAUUUUUACAGUUUUAUAACAAGAAAGUUUACACUGUGCUAUUUUCGUUGGGACAUUCAGUGUCGCACAUAAGACUCUCGCAUGGUAAAAACAUUCUUCAGCGAUUAAUUGGUAGCUGAUUUAGUACUGUACUUUGGCAACCAAAGACAUCUGACGACAAAGUUCUGUCACCUUGAGAAAUUUUGAAUUAAAAUCUAUGUGAGUGUGAGCGCUGUUGAAAGCCAAUAGUAUGUAUAGUAUGACCAAUAGGAGGAUGGUAUGACCAAUAGGAGGAUGGUAUGACCAAUAGGAGGAGGUAUGACCAAUAGGAGGAUGGUAUGACCAAUAGGAGACAUGGUAUGACCAAUAGGAGGAGGUAUGACCAAUAGGAGGAUGGUAUGACCAAUAGGAGGCUUGGUAUGACCAAUGGGAGGAGGAUGGUAUGACCAAUAGGAGGAUGGUAUGACCAAUAGGAGGCAUGGUAUCACCAAUAGGAGGAUGGUAUGACCAAUAGGAGGAUGGUAUGACCAAUAGGAGGCACUGUAUGACCAAUAGGGGAGGUAUGACCAAUAGGAGACAUGAUAUGAUCAAUAGGAUGUAUGACAAUAGGAAGGAUGGUAUUACCAAGAAGAGGAUGGUAUGACCAAUAGGAGGAGGUAUGACCAAUAGGAGGAUGUUAUGACCAAUAGGAGACAUGGUAUGACCAGUAAGAGGAUGGUAUGACCAAUAGCAGACAUGGUAUGACCAAUAGGAGGAUGAUAUGACCAAUAAGAGGAUGGUAUGACCAAUAGGAGACAUGAUAUGAUCAAUAGGAGACAUGGUAUGACCAAUAGGAGGACGGUAUGACCAUUAGGAGGCAUGGUAUGACCAAUAGGAGGCAUGAUAUGAUCAAUAGGAGGCAUGGUAUGACCAAUAGGAGACAUGAUAUGAUCAAUAGGAGAC
ensembl:lncRNA